rnacentral:rRNA from 1 species
GGAAACGACUGCUAAUACCCCAUAUGCCUACGAGUGAAACGGUGAAUUCCGCCUGAAGAUGAACUCGCGUCAGAUUAGCUAGUUGGUGGGGUAAGGGCCUACCAAGGCGACGAUCUGUAGCUGGUCUGAGAGGAUGAUCAGCCACACUGGGACUGAGACACGGCCCAGACUCCUACGGGAGGCAGCAGUGGGGAAUUUUCCGCAAUGGGCGAAAGCCUGACGGAGCAACGCCGCGUGCGGGAUGACGGCCUGUGGGUUGUAAACCGCUUUUCUCAGGGAAGAAGAUCUGACGGUACCUGAGGAAUCAGCAUCGGCUAACUCCGUGCCAGCAGCCGCGGUAAUACGGAGGAUGCAAGCGUUAUCCGGAAUUAUUGGGCGUAAAGCGUCCGCAGGCGGCUUAUCAAGUCUGCUGUUAAAUGUCGGGGCUCAACUCCGAUUUGGCAGUGGAAACUGAUAGGCUAGAGUACGGUAGGGGUAGAGGGAAUUCCCAGUGUAGCGGUGAAAUGCGUAGAUAUUGGGAAGAACACCAGUGGCGAAGGCGCUCUACUGGGCCGUAACUGACGCUGAGGGACGAAAGCU